AAGAGAUUGAUAAAAUACAGAAUAGAGCUGUCUUUGAGAUGAAUAUUACAACUCAAAGAUGUAAAAAGCGGAAACUUUAUUUAGUCAAUCCGUCUUUUGAGAGAGAAAGGAAACGCGUGAAGUAUAAUGCUGAUCCAUCCAAAUGAAAAAAUAUUCCGCCAUCACAUAAAGAAAAUCACCGUCGGUAAAAGAAAAAACUCAUACAAGGAAAAUCUAUCUCCUGUUGGAAGAAAGGAAACAGAAUUCUUAAAAAUUCAUAGCCGAUCAGGGGCAAAGAAUUUCCUUUCAAGAAAAUCCAUACGUUGCGAAAUAAUGUUGCAAUUGCACCAAAACAUUUUGCCGAAUAUUCACCGCAUUUCUUAUUACGAAACACGCACCAAUUUGGCUACCAAUACAAAUAUAAAAUUCAAUUAACCAAACACAUUCAUUUAACUUUAAAAAGAGAAAUACAAAAUCGCAUAGUGAAAAAGGUGUCAAAAAUUACUUCACUUUAAGGAAACCGCGGGUUCGGAAAAUUGCUGUACCGCUUAAAAAUAAGGAUGAUGAUGAAAACCGCACCAAGGCUGAACAAACUCUUAAAUGGAAUUUGAGUAAGAGGAGUAAAUGUGUGACAGAUUCAAGAUUAGUCAUUAUUAUUAAAAGAAAUCUGAAUUUAAAAUAAAUAAAGCUAGCUUAAAAAUUCUUUGUGGCUCUACCACGCAUGCAGUAAGUUAUUAAUCAUAUAUGUUGUUUAUUCUAUUUAUUUUAACACUUCAUUAAUAAAUUGACCAUAAAUCUAAGAUACGAAAUUCGUUUAAAAAACUUUAUUGCAAAGCUAAAGACAACCAUGCAAAUCUUUUCAGAUGUAGACUUUGCUGCAAAAUUCCAUCUUUCACUGAAGCGUUAUUCGUUAAUCGAACAACUAUAUCAAAAAAUUUCAUAAAAUUGUAUUUAAUGUUACUUAAAUGUAGCAAUAAUAUCCCACCAAAAACAUCUUAUAUAUAAAAAAUAAACCAAGUACAGUGCUCUGAAAUUAGAACAUUUGUUGCAAUGUAUACGCGGG
rnacentral:lncRNA from 1 species